rnacentral:rRNA from 1 species
UACGAAGGGGGCUAGCGUUGCUCGGAAUCGCUGGGCGUAAAGGGUGCGUAGGCGGGUCUUUAAGUCAGGGGUGAAAUCCUGGAGCUCAACUCCAGAACUGCCUUUGAUACUGAGGAUCUUGAGUUCGGGAGAGGUGAGUGGAACUGCGAGUGUAGAGGUGAAAUUCGUAGAUAUUCGCAAGAACACCAGUGGCGAAGGCGGCUCACUGGCCCGGUACUGACGCUGAGGUGCGAAAGCGUGGGGAGCAAACAGG